rnacentral:rRNA from 1 species
GACGAACGCUGGCGGCGUGCUUAACACAUGCAAGUCGAACGGUGAAGCGCCUUCCUUUUUGGUGGGUGUGGAUGAGUGGCGAACGGGUGAGUAACACGUGAGUAACCUGCCCCCUUCUUCUGGAUAACCGCAUGAAAGUGUGGCUAAUACGGGAUAUUCUGGGUCUGUCGCAUGAUGGGUCUGGGAAAGAUAUUGUUUCGGUGGGGGAUGGGCUCGCGGCCUAUCAGCUUGUUGGUGGGGGGAUGGCCUACCAAGGCGGUGACGGGUAGCCGGCCUGAGAGGGUGGACGGUCACACGGGGACUGAGACACGGCCCAGACUCCUACGGGAGGCAGCAGUGGGGAAUAUUGCACAAUGGGCGCAAGCCUGAUGCAGCGACGCCGCGUGAGGGAUGGAGGCCUUCGGGUUGUGAACCUCUUUCGCCAGUGAAGCAGGCCUGCCUCGUUUGUGGGUGGGUUGACGGUAGCUGGAUAAGAAGCGCCGGCUAACUACGUG